rnacentral:tRNA from 1 species
GCAGGUGUAAUUCAAUGGUCGAAUGUCAGCUUCCCAAGCUGAAUACGCGGGUUCGAUUCCCGUCGCCUGCU